GUCCCCGUAGUUCAAACGGAUAGAACAAGGAUCUCCUAAGUCUUAAAUAGAGGUUCAAUUCCUCUCGGGGACA
rnacentral:tRNA from 1 species